UACAGAGGUCUCAAGCGUUGUUCGGAAUUACUGGGCGUAAAGCGCGCGUAGGCGGCUUUGUAAGUUAGAGGUGAAAGCCCGGAGCUCAACUCCGGAACUGCCUUUAAAACUGCAUCGCUUGAAUCCAGGAGAGGUGAGUGGAAUUCCGAGUGUAGAGGUGAAAUUCGUAGAUAUUCGGAAGAACACCAGUGGCGAAGGCGGCUCACUGGACUGGUAUUGACGCUGAGGUGCGAAAGCGUGGGGAGCAAACAGG
rnacentral:rRNA from 1 species